AAUAGAUACCCAGGUAGUCCACGCCGUAAACGGUGGGCACUAGGUGUGGGCGACAUUCCACGUCGUCCGUGCCGCAGCUAACGCAUUAAGUGCCCCGCCUGGGGAGUACGGCCGCAAGGCUAAAACUCAAAGGAAUUGACGGGGGGCCCGCACAAGCGGCGGAGCAUGCGGCUUAAUUCGAUGCAACGCGAAGAACCUUACCUAGGCUUGACAUGUACGGGAAGCAGGCAGAGAUGUCUGUGCCUUCGGGCCCGUUCACAGGUGGUGCAUGGCUGUCGUCAGCUCGUGUCGUGAGAUGUUGGGUUAAGUCCCGCAACGAGCGCAACCCUUGUCCCGUGUUGCCAGCAGGCCCUUGUGGUGCUGGGGACUCACGGGGAGACCGGCCGGGGGUUCAACUCGGGAGGAAGGUGGGGACGACGUCAAGUCAUCAUGCCCCGUUAUGUCUUGGGCUGCACACGUGCUACAAUGGCCGGUACAAUGAGCUGCGAUACCGCGAGGUGGAGCGAAUCUCAAAAACGCCGGUCUCAGUUCGGU
rnacentral:rRNA from 1 species